GGCUCAGAAUGAACGCGGGCGGCGUGCCUAACACAUGCAAGUCGGAUGUGCCGCAAGGUGCAUGGCAGACGGGUGAGUAACGCGUAGGGAAUCUACCUCUUUGUGGGGAAUAACGCUCCGAAAGGAGUGGUAAUACCGCAUGAGACCAGUGGCUGGGAUGCUGCUGGUGAAACCUGGGGACCGCAAGGCCUGGGGCAAGGAGAGGAUCCUGCGUCUGAUUAGCUAGUUGGCGGGGUAAUGGCCCACCAAGGCGACGAUCAGUAGCCGGCCUGAGAGGGUGAUCGGCCACACUGGAACUGAGACACGGUCCAGACUCCUACGGGAGGCAGCAGUGGGGAAUUUUGCGCAAUGGACGAAAGUCUGACGCAGCAACGCCGCGUGGGUGAUGAAGGUCUUCGGACUGUAAAACCCUGUCGUCAGGGACGAAGGCUGAGAGGUUAAUAACCUUUUAGCUUGACGGUACCUGGAGAGGAAGCCCCGGCUAACUCUGUGCCAGCAGCCGCGGUAAUACAGAGGGGGCAAGCGUUAUUCGGAAUUAUUGGGCGUAAAGGGCGCGUAGGCGGUUUUUUAAGUCAGAUGUGUAAUUCCCGAGCUUAACUUGGGAACUGCAUCUGAGACUGGAAGGCUAGAGUACUGGAGAGGGUGGUGGAAUUCCUCGUGUAGCGGUGAAAUGCGUAGAGAUGAGGAGGAACACCAGUGGCGAAGGCGGCCACCUGGACAGUAACUGACGCUGAGGCGCGAAAGUGUGGGUAGUAAACAGGAUUAGAUACCCUGGUAGUCCACGCUGUAAACGAUGAACACUUGGUGUGGAGGGAGUUGACCCCUUCCGUGCCGGAGCUAACGCGUUAAGUGUUCCGCCUGGGGAG
rnacentral:rRNA from 1 species